rnacentral:rRNA from 1 species
UACGUAGGGGGCAAGCGUUGUCCGGAAUCAUUGGGCGUAAAGCGCGUGUAGGCGGCUCGAUAAGUCUGCUGUGAAAGUCCAGGGCUCAACCCUGGGAUGCCGGUGGAUACUGUCGAGCUCGAGUCCGGAAGAGGCGAGUGGAAUUCCUGGUGUAGCGGUGAAAUGCGCAGAUAUCAGGAGGAACACCGGUGGCGAAGGCGGCGACCUGGGUCGAUACUGACGCUGAGGUGCGAAAGCGUGGGGAGCAAACAGG